rnacentral:misc_RNA from 1 species
UUUCCGUAGGUGAGCCUGCGGAAGGAUCAUUAUUGUAUAACCGAGGUGCGAGGGCUGUCGCUGACCCGAAAGGUCGUGCACGCCCGAGUGCCCUCACACACAUCCAUCUCACCCCUAUGUGCACCACCGCGUGGGUCCCCCUUUGGCUUGUUCGGAGGGGGGCUUACGCUUUCACACAAACUUUGUAUGCAGUGUAGAAUGUAUUUUUUGUUUUUGCGAUCACGCAAUCAAUACAACUUUCAACAACGGAUCUCUUGGCUCUC